rnacentral:misc_RNA from 1 species
GAUGAAGAACGUAGCGAAAUGCGAUAAGUAGUGUGAAUUGCAGAAUUCAGUGAAUCAUCGAAUCUUUGAACGCACAUUGCGCCCCUUGGUAUUCCAUGGGGCAUGCCUGUUCGAGCGUCAUUUGUACCUUCAAGCUCUGCUUGGUGUUGGGUGUUUUGUCUCGCCUCUGCGUGUAGACUCGCCUUAAAACAAUUGGCAGCCGGCGUAUUGAUUUCGGAGCGCAGUACAUCUCGCGCUUUGCACUCAUAACGGCGACGUCCAAAAGUACAUUUUUACACUCUUGACCUCGGAUCAGGAAGGGAUACCCGCUGAACUUAAGCAUAUCAAUAAGCGGAGGA